UCGUAUGUUCCAACGCGCCGGGCGACGUCACGUCGUGCGAGGUGAGGAAAGAGAAAGAAACAGCCGGUCGCGCAUUUGUGUAGCGCUGUUACAGGCAGUUGGUGCCACCGGCUGACCCGGGCACCGGUCCCUGGCCCAGCGGAAAAAAAAUUGCCGGUCCGCCACACCAGAUAGUUUGAGAAGCACUGCUUUAGAAGAUGUUGGC